rnacentral:rRNA from 1 species
AGAGUUUGAUCCUGGCUCAGGAAGAACGCUAGCGGCAGGCCUAAUACAUGCGAGUCGAGGGGUAGAGAUGGGUUUACUCAUCUUGAGACCGGCGCACGGGUGCGUAACACGUAUGCAACCUACCCUUUACUGGGGCAUAGCUCAGAGAAAUCUGAAUUAAUUCCCCAUAAUAUAAUUAUAUGGCAUCAUUUGAUUAUUAAAGCUGAGGCGGUAAAGGAUGGGCAUGCGUUGCAUUAGCUAGUUGGUGAGGUAAUGGCUCACCAAGGCUACGCUGCAUAGGGGUUCUGAGAGGAUGAUCUCCCACACUGGUACUGAGACACGGACCAGACUCCUACGGGAGGCAGCAGUAGGGAAUAUUGGUCAAUGGACGCAAGUCUGAACCAGCCAUGCCGCGUGCAGGAAGACGGCCCUCUGGGUUGUAAACUGCUUUUAUAUGGGAAGAAACCCCUGGAUGCGUCCAGGGCUGACGGUACUUUAUGAAUAAGGAUCGGCUAACUUCGUGCCAGCAGCCGCGGUAAGACGAAGGAUCCAAGCGUUGUCCGGAUUUACUGGGUUUAAAGGGUGCGUAGGCGGACCGAUAAGUCAGUAGUGAAAGCCCAUAGCUCAACUAUGGACCUGCCAUUGAAACUGCCGGUCUUGAAUUCGGUUGAGGCAGAUGGAAUAUAACAUGUAGCGGUGAAGUGCUUAGAUAUGUUAUAGAACACCGAUUGCGAAGGCAGUCUGCUAAGUCGACAUUGACGCUGAGGCACGAAAGCGUGGGGAGCGAACAGGAUUAGAUACCCUGGUAGUCCACGCCCUAAACGUUGAUUACUCGCUGUUGGCGAUACACUGUCAGCGGCUAAGCGAAAGCGUUAAGUAAUC